rnacentral:lncRNA from 1 species
ACUUUAAAAGUAAUGAGAUUUUCCACUGUUAACUUAAUAGCAGCAAACCACAUGCUCUAAACAAUGUUCUAAUUUUUUUUUUUUUAAAUAAGGACUCAUUUUUAGUAACAAACCCCAGACUAAUAGGCCUGCCAUUUUUCCACUGCUGGAGGAAAACCUGGACUCUUGCUGAGCUGUAUGGUGAAUAUCUCGGAGAUAUUUGAAUCUACUACUAAUAAAAAGGCCUCUAAAAUGCUAGCAUGGAGGAACGCAUUUAAGUAGCAUAAUCCGUAUGUAUGGAUCUGAUUACUGGAGCACUGAAAGACAAGAUGGCUGUAGGCGGCAUAUCUCUAGAAAUGAGCCUCUUUCCAUAUGGCUUGAUUGUUAUUCAUACUUCCUGGCAGUGGUUAGAAGAGGAGGAUGACUGAGAAUUUAGUAGGCACAGGGAGCUUUGGCAGGAGCUGGCUGCCUUUGAGCUUGAACACGUGCUGCACUUUCUUCAGGAAGAGAAAUAGAAGUGAAUGUGAAGUCACUACUUGGCAACUUGGACAAGACAUGCAGCCACCACAGCUUGGACACUUCUGUGUACUUGUUUCAUUCUCUGUGACUUCCGUCUUUUGGCUUUAUGGGCAGUGGGUGAGUACUGCCCUUGUAUAAGCAUCUGACCCACAGAUCAUGUGAGCUCUGCUGUGUUGUUUCAUAGAGACAACCACUUUUGGUGGCAGCACAUUGCUUGUUGAUACAGCUAUGACAGCCAGAAAUGUAAAGAUUUAAUGAUACCAGUUAUUAAACUGCUCCUGCAAAAUUUCCU